rnacentral:rRNA from 1 species
AGCUCCCCGAGUGGUAGGGACAAUUAUUGGGCUUAAAGCGUCCGUAGCCGGCCUGACAAGUCUUUCGUUAAAUCCAGCGACUUAAUCGUUGGGCUGCGGGAGAUACUAUCGGGCUAGGGGACGGGAGAGGCCGAUGGUAUUCUUGGGGUAGGGGUGAAAUCCUAUAAUCCCAGGAGGACCACCAGUGGCGAAGGCGAUCGGCUAGAACGCGCUCGACGGUGAUGGACGAAAGCUGGGGGAGCGAACCGGAUUAGAUACCCGAGUAGUCC